UACGUAGGGUGCAAGCGUUGUUCGGAAUUAUUGGGCGUAAAGAGCUCGUAGGCGGUCUGUCGCGUCGGCUGUGAAAACCCGGGGCUCAACCCCGGGCCUGCAGUCGAUACGGGCAGACUAGAGUGCGGUAGGGGAGACUGGAAUUCCUGGUGUAGCGGUGAAAUGCGCAGAUAUCAGGAGGAACACCGGUGGCGAAGGCGGGUCUCUGGGCCGUAACUGACGCUGAGGAGCGAAAGCAUGGGGAGCGAACAGG
rnacentral:rRNA from 1 species